CUCAGGUCUUUGGAUCCAUCUCCCGAGGCCAUCCCUCUUUUCAGUCAAUCUCCAGUCGUCCCAGCUUACCUUCAUGUUGAUGAAUAAAUCACAGCAUACCAGAUAGAGUUGACCUGUUUCCAGUAGAGGAUAAUGGAACGGCUGUGGUUGUCUUUGCUGUUGCUGGCGGCAGCAUGCAGGGGACAGCCGUGUCCGAAACGCUGCAUGUGCCAGAGCCUUUCCCCAUCGCUCGCUAUCCUCUGCUCCAAGACGGGCUUGCUGUUUGUCCCCGCAGCCAUUGACAGACGCACCGUGGAGCUACGGCUUCAAGAGAACUUCAUCACGGCUGUCCGAAGAAAGGACUUUGCCAACAUGACCAGCCUGCUGCACCUGACCCUGUCCAGAAACACCAUCAGUCAGAUCCUCCCUUCAGCUUUCAGUGACCUGCGGAGACUGAGAGCUCUCCACUUAGACUCAAACAGAUUAACUGUGAUCAAGGAUGACCAUUUCAAAGGCCUGACCAACCUUCGUCACCUAAUCCUGGCCAACAACCAGCUCCACUCCAUAUCUCCCCAUGCCUUUGAUGACUUCCUGUCCACACUGGAGGAUCUAGACCUCAGCUACAACAACCUUGCCCAGGCGCCCUGGGACACGAUCGGGCGCCUGACCAAUGUCAAUACCCUCAAUAUGGAUCACAACCUCAUAGAAAACGUUCCCCAAGGGGUAUUUACCAACCUACACAAACUGGCCAGGCUAGACAUGACAUCCAACAAGUUGAAGAAAAUCCCCCCUGACCCAUUGUUCCUGAGAAUCCCAGUCUAUGCCAAGUCCAAAGGCUCCCCUCUCUCCUCCCUGGUGUUGAGUUUUGGCGGUAACCCCCUUCACUGUAACUGUGAACUCCUGUGGUUGAGGAGACUAACCAGGGAAGAUGACCUUGAGACCUGCGCCUCUCCUGCGGACCUCAGUGCCAAAUAUUUCUGGACAAUACCUGAAGAGGAGUUUAUAUGUGACCCACCAGUUCUGACCCGUAAGUCACCUCAUACUGUGACAAUGGAAGGCCAACCUGCCAGCCUGAAGUGUAAAGCAAAUGGCGACCCAGAGCCUGAGGUCCACUGGAUCAGCCCUGAAGGUCGACUUAUAUCUAAUGGCUCCAGAACUCUGGUUUUCCCAAAUGGAAGCCUGGAGAUUAAUGUAACAUCCCUGAAGGAUUCAGGAAACUUUACCUGCAUCGCCUCCAACGCAGCAGGCGAAUCCACGGGAAGGGUGGAGCUGGUUGUCACGGCGAUGCCCCAUCUCGCAAACAGCACAAGCCGCAGCCGAGACCCAUCCUCUGAACCUGCCCCCUCUGAUAUCCUAACGUCCUCCAAGGUUGCGCAGCCUAACAACGAGACAAGGGGGGCAGACCGCAGGGUCUCGUUGGUGGAACUGACGGGAAACUCUGCCCUCAUUAGAUGGAGCAGUCAGACUCCGACAUCUGGAGUCAGGAUGUUCCAGGUCCAGUACAACAGCUCCGGGGAUGACGCACUGGUUUACAGGAUGAUCCCAUCCAGCAGCAACGACUUCCUGGUUCGGGACCUCGCCGCUGGACGCAGUUACGAUCUUUGUGUCCUGGCCGUGUUUGAUGACGUCAUUACAUCACUGACUGCAACGCGACCUCUGGGCUGUCUGUCGUUUACCACAGACACCGAGUUCAGCCAGUGUCAAGCACUGCACAGCCACUUCCUGGGUGGCACUAUGAUCAUCAUCAUUGGAGGGAUUAUUGUUGCUUCUGUUCUGGUCUUCAUCAUCAUCUUAAUGAUACGAUACAAGGUUUACAGCCACCAAGGUGCAGUCCACGGAAAAGUAGCCAUUGCGGCAACCCCUCCAAGACCGCAGAGUAAUGGACAAGGAGGAGGUGGACAAGUCCAUGUCCUCCCUCACUCUGCUUCAAAAAUGACUGAGAGUCUGGACGACCAAGCACUAGCAUCGUCCAGAGCCAUGUCGCCUAGCAACACUCUGAGAGACACUGUUGCGCUGGUUGAGGAGGUGAGCAGUGGACGGUGCAUAAUGACAAGGACUGACUCCAUGGCCAAUGAGGAGUUGCUCUCGCCCACAAAGUCCCGCUUCUCCUCCAGGGUUGCCAUUGAGAUGAAAAGCAGACCGCCAUCUGUCACCAAAGAGCCCACCUCACCCAAGGAUCCGGCAGAGCCCUGAUGAUGAUGUUGUUCUGGGUGGCAGAUGUGGAGAAUGAACGUCACCACCAGUGAAAACUCUAAAGAAUAACAAUAAUUAAUUUUAAAAAAUGAAGAAAAAAAGCCCUAUAGCUCCUCUCCCUGUAUCUCCCAUUUGCUCUACCCAUUAAUUUUUGUCCAUGAAUAUUAUGGGGUUAUAGACCUGUACUGUCUGGUUUACUUUAAACUGCUUGUCUUGGUUCUCGUGUCUGGAUUGGACGACGGACUGUGUCAAGGCCCCGUGUCUCCAUGGCUACUGAUCGGCCAGUUGCUGCAGGAUUUAGCUGUCGGUGUGGUCAACUUAAUAUCUUUAAAUGGAGCGUCACUCGUCAGGGGCCAAAUAUUCUACUUCGAAUCAUGUGGAUGAGCGUGUCAAUGGAUGCAGUGGACAUGCAUAGCACAGAGAGGCCCAUGGGUACGUCUGAAAAAACAAAUGGACAAGAAAAUAUGAACUCCUUCUUCAGCAUCGACGUGCACGGACAGAUUCUGAGUGGAUGGUGAAAACAGAAAAUGAUGCAUAGAUAAUCACGCGCAACCUGGAUAUGCAUAAUGACGGACUGCACGGACAGAAAGGGAAUAAAUUCAAGCAGAACAAUGUCUGGAUGGGUGUGGUUUUGGAUAUGAACAUAAUAUUAAAUACUGGCUCACUGGCGAGGCCGGCUCUCCGCGGCGCCGCCAAGCAGUUCUGCUGAAACUGAAGUGAGCCGAGCUGAACCUAGCUGGCCUCAACUGGAGCCGGAUCUUAACCUUGACUGGAUCCUUUUUGUCUCUCACUCAGAACGUCUCUGGGAAGCACAUAGACUGUACGAAAUGAGGAGACGUGAACUGAAAAAUGGUUUUACCUGGACACAGCUGGGGGGGGGGGGGAAACCUGGACCCAGUGGAGCCUGGAGUUAAACACUGAUAAAUGCAGACUAUACUGGACUAGACCAGUGACCUGUUGGUCGAGCCUGCGCUCUCCUCUGCUCUGGUCCCGUAUCUACAGUUUCCCACUGUGAUGUGACCAGGGAGGACCGCGACGACCUCUACCACCCGCUCCCCCGUCUCUCCAGAUACACUUACACAGACCAGUGACGAGGAGGAAGCCCACAAGUCUGAGGUCAAGAAAAACUAAACGGACUGAUGAGGGAGAAACGAUAAAGUAGUGGGCUCACCGGUUAAACCCAAUCACGUCAACCAUCACUGAUUUCAUCCAACAAUUUUAUCGGGAACAUCUUCACCGUCAUCAUCAUCAGUACUCUCAUCAUGACGUUAACAGCUACAGAGUUCUACAUUCAAAGUCAGAAGAGUUUAUUGUGAAGAAGAAGAAAAAAUGACUGUAUAUGGCUGCACCACCUUCAUUGAAAACAUCGAGGCGGUAGUCAUCCAGUCCCUAAGCACAUGUUUAUCAUCACCACAGAGUGCGUAUCUGUGCUCACAGGUCAUUUAACAGUGAUUUAAAGGGGACCUAUAAUGCUUUUCUUUAUUUCGGUUAUAUACAAUGUCCGAUAUACAUAAGGGCACGGUCACACAUCCAUGAGGCAAACCUUCGCCUCUCGUUCACUUCCAUUACGCUAGCGAGGGGGGCACAUCAAAUUUUUGCUUCCUGCAGUGUGGCUUCGCGCGGAGUUUGGUGAACUUUGACCCGGCGACGUCACAGCCUCAACCGGUAGCAACGAAGUCCGCCUGGUCCACUUGGCUGUCACGAGCUGUUCGUAGCCAAGAUGGGGGAGACCAUCACACGUCUCUACUUCCACAACGAACUGAUGACAACUCGUCACGUCGUCCACUCCAAGCACAGCUUGUACACUAAAACAGUCUACUCGAGUAAUAUUAUAAGCAUCUAAUGUUCUCCAGCAUACAAAUCACAGACACUGCGGGUUUACUACACAACCACAGCAGAAUAACAUUUAAAAAAACCCUGGCCGCAGACAUUUCUCAUUUCCCCAGCCAUAUUUACAGUUUGUGGUUGAACGAAUAAAUGCACCUUAAAGGGGCAACAAGCAAUUUUGGAGAAAAAAAAAAAUGUAGAUGUUGAUUUUUUUGACUGCACUGGUCGGGGCACGAACCCGCGGCCUCGGGUAUGAAAGACUGACGUGCUAACCGCGAUGCCAAAACCCCUGAGUAUCUGGGCAUCUAGCAUCUGUUGCUAGCACACCUCUUAAGGUGUUGACUGUACAUACAGUGUUGUGAGGUGCAUUCCACAAGAUUUAUUCCUUUUUUAAUAUAAUAUACAUAUAUAUAAUUUUUUUCGGGCGCACACAGAACUGACAGCUAGCAGACUGUGAGGAAAUAUUCGCUGAAUUUGACAAAAAAGUGCAUUGGAUUAGAAUCGCUUACGGCCCCUUUAAUUUCACAUAAUAAACAAGUCAUCGGCGUGCUAUUUACUGAACAAAGUUGUCCUGUUGUAACCUUUGCCGCUAUGGAUGUUCCUGCUUUCCCCUCAACAUGUUUGGGAGGGUUUGAGAAGAUUCACAAUUGUGUUGUGUUACUUAGUUUUAGUUCCUAGUUUCUUAGUGGGUACAGUUUGUCGUCAGUACCCCCACACCGGUAAGAGGAUGACGUUGUGCUCCGGGCUUCUGGAUGUUCAGCCAGUCAGAGGCCUCUUAAGGGGACCUGGGCUGAUGUUGCAAACAAAGAGCUGCGUGAAGGGCAGUUUGAGAUAAAUAAGAAUAUGUUUUGAUCUGUGAAACAACACCAAUGGAAUAAAAAUAUAUAGCCCGCAAUGAGCAUAAUAGGUCCCCUUCAAUGUUCUGUUUUGAAUGAGUUACAUGUUCAUGUGAGUCACACGGAAAUCUGUUUAUGCAUCAUAUUGCUUUCAUUACUAUUGUGCUUUCACUGAGGUUUUUAUGCUGGUUAUUGCAAACGGGACAUAUGGGCCACAGGUGCCAUCUCAGAUCUGAGCCAUCCAUAUGCGUUUGCACAUAACCGCAUUCACCGUUGGUACGCUGCAACAUCAAAAUCAUUAUGAUCAUGAUGCAGUUCCCUGCAGAGAUGUGAGUCGGUAGAAGAGAAAAUAGACAGAGAGCCUGAAACCUUUUGACCCAUCACAGUAGAAACACGAACCCGCCCCCCAAAAAAUAAAGAAAAAUAACACCCUGCUUAGUCUUCACUUUUCCCCUCCUGUGUUCUCCGCACUUUUUUUUUUUCCUUUGGGCUUUAUCUUUUGUAUUUGUACAUAGAGCAAUUUCAAAUCUUAUAGUUUUGUACAUGUAAUUUUUAUGGUGUGUGGAUAUUUUCUAAUAAAAUAAAACAAGAAAAAAUGGA